rnacentral:rRNA from 1 species
GACGAACGCUGGCGGCGUGCCUAAUACAUGCAAGUCGAACGCAGUGGGGACGGGUGAGUAACCCGUGGGUAACCGCCCAUCAGAGGGGAUAACACUUGGAAAAAGGUGCUAAACCGAUACUGAUGGAUGGACACUACGUGCAUUAGCUAGUUGGUGGGGUAACGGCUCACCAAGGCGACGAUGCAUAGCUGACCUGAGAGGUUGAUCGGCCACACUGGGACUGAGACACGGCCCAGACUCCUACGGUAGGCAGCAGUAGGGAAUCGUCGGCAAGGGACGAAAGUCUGACCGAGCAACGCCGCGUGAGUGAAGAAGGUUUUCGGAUCGUAAAACUCUGUUGUUAGAGAAGCGGUAUCUAACCAGAAAGCCACGGCUAACUACGUGCCAGCAGCCGCGGUAAUUC